rnacentral:rRNA from 1 species
UACGUAGGGGGCAAGCGUUGUCCGGAUUCAUUGGGCGUAAAGAGCGUGUAGGCGGCCAGGUAGGUCGGUUGUGAAAACUCGAGGCUCAACCUCGAGACGUCGGUUGAAAACCAUUCUGGCUAGAGUCCGGAAGAGGAGUGUGGAAUUCCCGGUGUAGCGGUGAAAUGCGCAGAUAUCGGGAAGAACACCCGUGGCGAAGGCGGCACUCUGGGCCGGAACUGACGCUGAGGAGCGAAAGCGUGGGUAGCAAACAGGA